CUUUGCUUUUAGCUUCUCUACAGUGCUGCCUUGUAGAGUCAUGUUCAAACAGCAUUGUACAGGGCUAUGACAGCGUAG
rfam:Salmo salar isolate Sally breed double haploid chromosome ssa03, whole genome shotgun sequence.